UACGUAGGUGGCAAGCGUUGUCCGGAAUUAUUGGGCGUAAAGAGCUCGUAGGCGGUUUGUCGCGUCUGCUGUGAAAACUCAGGGCUUAACCCUGAGCCUGCAGUGGGUACGGGCAGACUAGAGUGUGGUAGGGGAGAUCGGAAUUCCUGGUGUAGCGGUGGAAUGCGCAGAUAUCACGGAGGAACACCGGUGGCGAAGGCGGAUCUCCUGGGCCAUAACUGACGCUGAGGAGCGAAAAGCAUGGGGAGCGAACGGAAU
rnacentral:rRNA from 1 species